GUUAACAUUGAUGUAUCUGGUUUCAUAUAUUAUGUCAUACUUCACUUGUCUUAUUACAAAUACACAGCAUGCUUUUUUCCGAAAACUUAUGCAAUGGAGAAUGAGUCAGACGCAUAUCCUUGAAAAUACUUUGUGUGUCAAAAUGCGCGGGACUAUUUUAAGUAUUUCCUGUUAUGAUUGAAAUCACUAUCAAAUGAGCGCGCAAUCAUAUUAUGUAACAUUAAGAUAAUUAUCGCACGCAUUUUCGGAUUUGAUUUAAGGAAUAAAGAGGGUUGAGUCGAUCUAUUAGCUUGCAAGAUCAAUACGAAUGAUUAUGAAGACUUUAUGCUACAAUUUGCUGUUACUGUUAUGCAUGCUUGUAUUCAUUGAUGAGCAUGUCCUGGCGUUGAAGACCAGUCGGAACCGUUCAGGCCACAGUGCACUUUUCAGAAGCAAAAGGAGAGCUUUACCCGAACUGAGAUAUGAUUGUACCAAGAUGCCAAAUAUCUGUAACAACAUCCGCAAUGCUCUUGCUGAAGGAAAGUCAAGAUAUCUCACUCGCUCGAACAGCGGAAUUUCCAGUAAUAGAAGAGCUGCAUGUGGCGGUGUCAGUGCACCUAGUGGGAUGUCAUGUGACGAGUAUCCAUUUGCAUCAACCAGACAAGGCGGGAUAGGAGCUAGGACGGCUGUUGUUCCCAUGAGAGAAAACUAUUCUCAAGGGGGACAACUCAGUGCUUUUUAUAGAAAAAAUAACGUUAAAACCUACGGCCGCAAUUCACAUUUCUACUUAGCAUACCCUUGAACUGAUAAGAAAAAAUAUGAGUGACUGCUCAAUGCUGUUCUGUGAAUAUAAAUGGAAUACUGUCGAUUAAAUAAAUAGCAAUACUUUUAAUUAUUUUCAAAAUAAUAUACGUGUGUAAAACAUUAACGCAACACUUAGUUUUAAGUAACAUCUUAAGGAGGUAGGUUACCUUUAUAUUUGUAUGUGCGCAUGUCCAACCGGAAGCUAACGUGACGAAUUACGACGACGUUUACGACAAACUAAAUGUGUUUGUAUAUUCAUUCUUCUAAAAACAAAUCAUAGACCUGUCGUCGAUCUGACGCUUUAUGGUUUAAUAAUGCAGAAAUAAUGAAUAAAUUGCCGCAGAAACGCUUCAAAACAAUGUUGCCUUAAAAUGACGUCAUUGACGUCAUGACGUUACGUGUCAGUUACCGCGCAAAAUUAAUAGCUUUUAUCUUGAAAGAAGGUAAUUCUGUGCAUUUUCUUUAUUCAGACUAUUUUCAAGUAACCAUUAUUUGCUGAAAUAUUUUUUAUGAAUCUUUUGCUCUGAAUAAUAAUCAAUAUUUUUCUUCUUUUAUAUAGUUAUAUUGAAAUGUUAUGCGGAAUGUAAGAAAAUUGAUGAUGGUAACCAAUGUUAUUUGGAAUAUAGUUGGGUGAAAGGUUACUUGUUACAGCCAUUUUCAGAUAAAAAAUCUAGCAGUUUGAUUUGUAAUACCUAUUUUACAGGUUCCGUUGAUAAUUUGUUACUUAUAUACUAAAACUAAGAUCUAAAAUUGUUCAAAUUUCAGUAGAAAUUGUGGUUUCUUGAAUUGAAUUGAUGUUACCAUGGAAACGAAGCCCGUGACCUAUGUAUCUAAAUGUAAAAUUCAAAAGCGUUGACACUAGUCUAUUUAAGAAACACAGCUUCGGCUUUUUAUUUUCAUUUCAACAAUAUCCAUGAGAAUAAAAGUAGCAUGCUGAACGAUUUUUCCAUGAAAAUUCCAGAUGAGGGGUACUGCUGUAAGUAUUCUAAGCUUAGAAAUUUGUUUGAAUAAAUGCAGAUACCACGAAAAUAUAACUUACGUUAGAAAUAAUAUGUUUUAAAGCUACAUCAGCUAGAAAGAUAAUCUUAUUCAAUAUUUUUUUAUAAGAAAUUACGACUAAAAGCAAGAUAUAAGCCAUUUUAAAUAUCUCUGUUGCCAUGGUUACUUUAAACUUUAAGAAGAAUAGGGUACCAUGUAUAGUGCUUGGUAUUUUGCUAAUAAUAUUACCCAAAUAUUCCAUGUUGGUCAUUAACAGAAUGGCACUGAAGCCGUCGAAAACCCCUAUUUUUAUACAUAGUUGUUUAAAAAUGAGAGAAAAUGUGUUACCAUGGAAACACGAGCCCCGCGACAUAUACAUUUUAAGCUUAUAUUAGAAAGCUAACGUGCAUACUGGUAAAAUUAUAGAUUAUGCUGACUUCUACGGAUAUCAGUGAAACUAAAAUACAGUGAAAAGUGUUAAAUAUCCGUAUUUUCCUUCUUCUUUUAAUAUGAAAUACCUUUGGAGGGUCAUGUUCUUCAAACCUGGAUAAAAAAUGAACUUGAAGGGACAGAGACAAACGAAACUGAGAUUUUAGCAGUUAAAACUUCAUAUUACACGAAAUACAAAAAGAUGCUGCGGUUCAACUAAUUUGAAUUUACCCUUGUAACAAGGUAACCUACCUCCUUAAACGUUACUCUAGAUACUUUUCUGAAAAUUGGACUAUCUGUAGACAAUUAUAUUGUAAAUGUCAAAUAAAAUUUCAAUCAAAUAUUUUCGCUCAUUUUUACGACAACGUCCCACUUGUCAAAGUCAGUUAAAUUGGUGUUUCUAUACAAGUAAAUUUCAUUUUCACACAAAAACAAAUUAUUAAAAGUAAAAUUAUCACUGUUUUGCCAAAGCUGGAAAGAGAAGCGAAGUUUUUGAAGAUAUUUUGGGAAAAAAGUAUCUUCACUUUUGUGUUCAUAUAAUAUAAACUUUACUAAAUAAAAUGGCAUCAAGGUCAACUAUACUUUAAAUGCCAUCGGCAAGUGGCUGUUAUUUCCGGUUGGAAUUACAGACCUAAAUUUUAAGAAAAAAUGUCACGGCAUGCAACAAUAAACUGUACUAUGGCUGUUGUUGACAUAAGAUUGAAACUGGAGUGGAACUGAUGUAAAAAUUAGUCCGUCUAAAUUUUGGUAUCGGGUCAUAUGACGUGGCGGCAAAAUUAUUAUCAAGCUUUAUCGGCAGUUAUCACAGUGAAUGCAUGAUAAAGCUAGUUGACUCCCAUUUAAAACAAAAGUAUCACUUUUAAUAACUAAAUGUAAAUAUUUGAUCAUAUAUGUUAAUCAGAUAAAAAUGUGCAAUUGUUGGGUUAGUAUUAUUAUUAGUUAGCAUUGACAUAGGGCAAGAGCAUUACAUUAUCUCACGGAUGCCCAAGUAGACUUUGUUGUUUUGUGUUGCUUUUUUCCUAUAAAAAAUAUUUUGGGACAUUUUCUCUCUAUUCUCAUUAUCUGAAAAUUGAAACUGUUUUAAAACCAGUACAAAAUAUACUGAAAAUCUUUAACAACACCAGUAUAUCUCGGAAUAAGUCCAGUUCCAAACGAAAAUGUUUUAGGCGAUAGCAAUAUAUAUCACUAUUACUUGAGGAACUGACUGGUGACAUAACUAGGCACACCAGACGACAACCACUCUAACAUUAAAGUCAGAAUAUGACAUAAAUUCAUUAAAAUACUGACUAUUAAUGGAUGCGCUAAUCGACUUGAAACUGUU